rnacentral:piRNA from 1 species
UAAAGGGUUGAAAGCACACAGCCAUGUU